AACGAACGCUGGCGGCAUGCCUAACACAUGCAAGUCGAACGGUAGCACAGAGAGCUUGCUCUCGGGUGACGAGUGGCGGACGGGUGAGUAAUGUCUGGGGAUCUGCCCGAUAGAGGGGGAUAACCACUGGAAACGGUGGCUAAUACCGCAUAACGUCGCAAGACCAAAGAGGGGGACCUUCGGGCCUCUCACUAUCGGAUGAACCCAGAUGGGAUUAGCUAGUAGGCGGGGUAACGGCCCACCUAGGCGACGAUCCCUAGCUGGUCUGAGAGGAUGACCAGCCACACUGGAACUGAGACACGGUCCAGACUCCUACGGGAGGCAGCAGUGGGGAAUAUUGCACAAUGGGCGCAAGCCUGAUGCAGCCACGCCGCGUGUAUGAAGAAGGCCUUCGGGUUGUAAAGUACUUUCAGCGGGGAGGAAGGCGAUGUGGUUAAUAACCGCAUUGAUUGACGUUACCCGCAGAAGAAGCACCGGCUAACUCCGUGCCAGCCGCCGCCGUAA
rnacentral:rRNA from 1 species